CCUACGGGAGACAGCAGUAGGGAAUAUUGCUCAAUGGGGGAAACCCUGAAGCAGCAACGCCGCGUGGAGGAUGAAGGUUUUCGGAUUGUAAACUCCUUUUGUUAGAGAAGAUAAUGACGGUAUCUAACGAAUAAGCACUGGCUAACUCCGUGCCAGCAGCCGCGGUAAUACGGAGGGUGCAAGCGUUACUCGGAAUCACUGGGCGUAAAGCGCGCGUAGGCGGGAUAGCAAGUCAGAUGUGAAAGCCUAUGGCUUAACCAUAGAACUGCAUUUGAAACUGUUAUUCUAGAGUAUGGGAGAGGUAGGUGGAAUUCUUGGUGUAGGGGUAAAAUCCGUAGAGAUCAAGAGGAAUACUCAUUGCGAAGGCGACCUGCUAGAACAUAACUGACGCUGAUGCGCGAAAGCGUGGGGAGCAAACAGGAUUAGAUACCCCUGUAGUC
rnacentral:rRNA from 1 species